UACGAAGGGUGCAAACGUUGCUCGGAAUUAUUGGGCGUAAAGCGCACGUAGGCGGCCUAGCAAGUCGGAUGUGAAAUCCCUCGGCUCAACCAAGGAAGUGCAUCCGAAACUGCUGAGCUUGAGUACGAAAGAGGAUCGCGGAAUUCCCGGUGUAGAGGUGAAAUUCGUAGAUAUCGGGAGGAACACCAGUGGCGAAGGCGGCGAUCUGGGUCGAUACUGACGCUGAGGUGCGAAAGCGUGGGGAGCAAACAGG
rnacentral:rRNA from 1 species